CCUACGGGGGGCAGCAGUCGAGAAUUUUUCACAAUGGGCGCAAGCCUGAUGGAGCGACGCCGCGUGGGGGAUGAAUGGCUUCGGCCCGUAAACCCCUGUCAUUUGCGAUCAAACCUUGCUAUUUAAAAGAUGGCGAGCUGAUAGUAGCGAAAGAGGAAGGGACGGCUAACUCUGUGCCAGCAGCCGCGGUAAUACAGAGGUCGCAAGCGUUGUUCGGAUUCAUUGGGCGGGGGUGGGGCGUAGGUGGUGGGGAAUCGCGGGGCUCAACUCCGAAAUGGCAUUGGAAACUACCCUGCUAGAGGGUCGGAGGGGGGACUGGAAUUCUCGGUGUAGCAGUGAAAUGCGUAGAUAUCGAGAGGAACACCAGUGGCGAAGGCGAGUCCCUGGACGACUCCUGACACUGAGGCACGAAAGCUAGGGGAGCAAACAGGAUUAGAUACCCCAGUAGUC
rnacentral:rRNA from 1 species